rnacentral:rRNA from 1 species
AGUUUGAUUAUGGCUCAGAUUGAACGCUGGCGGGAUGCUUUACACAUGCAAGUCGAACGGCAGCACGGACUUCGGUCUGGUGGCGAGUGGCGAACGGGUGAGUAAUGUAUCGGAACGUGCCUAGUAGCGGGGAUAAUCGAUGUUGUAGCUAAUACCGCAUACGUUCGGGGAAAGUAAAUUCUGGGCCUCGCACUAUUAGAGCGGCCGAUAUCGGAUUAGCUAGUUGGCGGGGUAACGGCUCAAUACAGCGACGAUCCGUAGCUGGUUUGAGAGGACGACCAGCCACACUGGGACUGAGACACGGCCCAGACUCCUACGGGAGGUGCAGUGGGGGGAAUUUUGGACAAUGGGGAAACCCUGAUCCAGCCAUCCCGCGUGUGCGAUGAAGGCCUUCGGGCCAGGUACACCUUUUGGCAGGAAAAGAAACGCGCACGGGAUAAUACCCCGUGCAACUGACGGUACCCGCAGAAUAAGCACCGGCUAACUACGCCAGCAGCCGUAAUACGUAGGGCGCAAGCGUUAAUCGGAAUUACUGGGCGUAAAAGCGUGCGCAGGCGGUUCGGAAAGAAAGAUGUGAAAUCCCAGAGCUUAACUUUGAACUGCAUUUUUAAUUACCGAGCCAGAGUGUGUCAGAGGGAGGUGGGGAAUUCCGCGUGUAGCAGUGAAAUGCGCAGAUAUGCGGAGGAACACCGAUGGCGAAGGCAGCCUCCGAUAACACUGACGCUCAUGCACGAAAGCGUGGGGAGCAAACAGGAUUUAGAUACCGGUAGUCCACGCCCCAAACGAUGUCAACUAGCCGUUGGGGCCCGGGCCUUGCAGCGCAGCUAACGCGUGAAGCCGGACCGCCUGUGGAGUACGGUCGCAAGAUUAAAACUCAAAGGGAAUGACGGGACCCGCACAAGCGGUGGAUGAUGUGGAUUAAUUCGAUGCAACGCGAAAAACCUUACCUACCCUUGAUACUGUCUGAAAUCCCAACAGAUUUGGGAGUGCUCGGCAGCAAGAGAACCGGAACACAGGUGCUGCAUGGCUGUCGUCACCGUGUCGUGAGAUGUUGGGUUAAGUCCCGCAACGAGCGCAACCCUUGUCAUUAGUUGCUACGAAAGGGCACUCUAAUGAGACUGCCGGUGACAAACCGGAGGAAGGUGGGGAUGACGUCAAGUCCUCAUGGCCCUUAUGGGUAGGGCUUCACACGUCAUACAAUGGUCGGGACAGAGGCCGCCAACCCGCGAGGGGAGCCAAUCCAGAAACCUGACUGUAGUCCGGAUCGCAGUCUGCAACUCGACUGCAGUCGGAAUCGCUAGUAAUCGCGAUCAGCGGCCGUCGUGCGGUGAAUACGUUCCUGGCCCUGUACACACCGCACGUCACACCAUGGGAGUGGGCUUUACUGAAGUAGUUAGCCUAACCGUGUAAGGAGGGCGAUUACCACGGUGCAGGAUUCAUGACUGGGGUGAAGUCGUACAAGGUAACCCU